UUAAUUUGACUCAACACGGGGAAACUUACCAGGUCCAGACAUAGUAAGGAUAGACAGAUUGAUAGCUCUUUCUCAGGUUUCAUUCUUUGCGAUUCCGGGCC
rnacentral:ncRNA from 1 species